CUACAGACCGGUAUUCCCUUCUUAUAUGCAGAAUUGCAUUGAUAUGUUGGCAGCAAAAAUGCAAGUAUAGGUGCAAGUGCCUUUCAUCAAGAAAACAUAGAGAUGAAGACUGGUUCUAUCCAAUCAUAUAAUUUGGAUGCAACAAGCAGGGUGUUCUAACCACGAAAAUUGGAUGAGAAGGCUCCACUCCAACUGCUGGUGAGGUGAAUGUAGCACCAACUAUGCUGGCUUCAACCUUUGGAUCAAGCAGUGCCUACAAUAUAUAUAUAUAUAUAUUAUAUAGCAGUGAAAAGAUGAAUCAAUUUUCUCCUAGAUGUGAAAACCACAGAAAUUAAGCUCUUUAUGGAAGCCCCACCUUCAGAAUAAUGGCUGCACCUGUUGAGUGUCCAUAGC